rnacentral:rRNA from 1 species
GCGAACGCUGGCGGCAGGCUUAACACAUGCAAGUCGAGCGCCGUAGCAAUACGGAGCGGCAGACGGGUGAGUAACGCGUGGGAACGUGCCUUCUGGUUCGGAAUAACUCAGGGAAACUUGAGCUAAUACCGAAUAAGCCCUUCGGGGGAAAGAUUUAUCGCCAGAAGAUCGGCCCGCGUAAGAUUAGCUAGUUGGUGAGGUAAUGGCUCACCAAGGCUACGAUCUUUAGCUGGUCUGAGAGGAUGAUCAGCCACACUGGGACUGAGACACGGCCCAGACUCCUACGGGAGGCAGCAGUGGGGAAUAUUGGACAAUGGGCGCAAGCCUGAUCCAGCCAUGCCGCGUGAGUGAUGAAGGCCUUAGGGUUGUAAAGCCCUUUUAGCGGGGACGAUAAUGACGGUACCCGCAGAAAAAGCCCCGGCCAACUUCGUGCCAGCCGCCGCGGUAAU